CAGCAACCAGGGCAGGGUGGAGCUGACAGAAGGGCCCCCGGGAGUCACCUGAGGUGUGAGAUGUUCCUGUGCCAGCAGAUUCCGCACCUCACUGGAGGAAGGUCCGUUUGCUCACUGUCCUUUUGGUCCUCAUGGCCAGCCUGGGAAGUGGGGAUUACUUUGAGGACCGUCGUGCAGAUAAGGAAACUGCGGCUCAGAGAGGCCCCAGUAGCCACACUGGCACCACUGCGCUGGAGAAGACUGGGGAAGCACAGAACGUCAGAGCAGGGGCGCAAUGUGCAGACGGACGGUCAGCCUCGGGCCAAGGACCGGGCAGCAUGAGGGCCACCGUGGUAGAGCUGGUACCCAGGCAGAGUCGGGGGCCUGGCUGUCUGCAGGGCAGUUCCAAGACUGGGGGCCACCUCCCUGCUGUGUCACAAGGUCGAGCCCCAGGGAGCAGCUGACACUGCAGACCUGAAGGACCAGAACCUCUUCCUGCUUUGCGCAACCCCAGACCUGCUGGGGGGUCAGCUGGGGUCUCAGGUCUCCAGGCAAGGGGGCCGGGGACUCUCUCCAAAGCAGGUUGAACCUGCCGUGUGGCCCUCCUGCUUCCCCACUAAUAAAGGGCCCACAGGGCAGGGGUGGUCAGGGAGGCAGGGACCCCUGCAAGUACAGAUGGCACGUGCCAGACUACGCUUGAGACCCUCCUCAGUUUUUCACUGACCCUCACAGCAACCCUGGGAGACAGGCACUAAUUUAUCUUAGGUACCAAUAUCAUUCCCAUUUUCGAGAGGGGUAAACCCAGUCCCAGAGAGUUAAGGCACCCGACCAGGGCCCCCAAUUCCUGGCAAACAAGAGGCGUUUGCUAAGUAUUUGUUGAGUGGAUGAAGUCGAGGGGGGAGUGACUCGCUCAAGAGCAUCAGCAGAGUCAGAUCUGAACCCAGGUCUGACCCCGAAGCCCCUUGGUUUCUCUGCCUCGACUGAACUCUGCAGCCUUGGGACCGACGGACAAGCACAGCUGACAUAUUUACCCCUCACGGGCAUCAUGAGAUGUGACCAGCUUUCCGGGGCUCCACGCUGUUUCCUUUCACCCCGAGAAAGGCAAAAGCAGCCCCUGACAGCCAGGAGCCGGCCUGGCCCUCCCAGCUAGGCCACGGUGUGCUCCUGUGGAGCACAAAAAAUUUCACAGAUCACCAGCAUCAGACAAGGCCACUCGAUGACUGUGAUGGAUUAAGACAAAAAACAAGACCGCUCUGUAAUCGUGUCUGAACACAGACAAAAAAAUGAACGUGGUCCAAACCACAAAAAUGAUUGAAUGUCCCUUUAUCCUGGCUAAAUGAGUGACAGCUGCUUCUUUGCCAAUCACAGCUUUAGCUUCAAUUCAUCCCACUUCCCUUCUAGACUAAAAUGAUGACGGUACCCAAUCACAGAAUCACCCCUGCUUUGUGAUGGCAUCCAACCCAGAGCAAAGCUCCUCUCCCUGGAGCCGUCCUCCCCAGGAGCACCUGACGCCAGCCUGAGUCCCUUCCAGCCCUUCCUCGCCCCCUCGCUGGGGCGCCCCGCAGUUUCUUGAGGACGCCUACCACAGCAUGGCUUGCCAAGCGGUUCCACAUCCACACCCGGGACCCGAACCAGCAAACCCCAGGCUGCUGAAGCCGAACGUGGAAACAAGACACCAAAAGCAAGAAUCAGCACAAAAAAGGGCAACAGAAAUAAUAAGUAUGCGACAUGUGGAAGUGUUAGCUAGUCUUGCGCUGGUAAUCACAUUGCAAUAAAUGAAUGUAUCAAAUCGACACAUUGUAUGCCCUAAACUUACACAAUGUUACAUGAUGAUAAUAUCUCAAUUAAAAAAAAAAGGACAACAGAAAUAGACCACAAGGACUUUAGGUAUUGGAAUUACCAAAAAUUAUGGUCUUAGAAUCACAGGCUCAAAGAUCCUCAAGGACAAGUUCAUCCUAAAAUGCAUGUGGAAAAACAAGGGACCAGAGUAGCCAAAACAACCUCGAAAAAGAAGAACAAAUGUGAAGGACUCACACUUCCUGAUUUCAAAGCUUCCCACAAAGCUACCGGAAUCAAGACUGCGUGCUACCAGUGUAAGGACAGACACGUAGAUCAAUGGAGUAGAAUUGAAAGUCCAGAAAUAAACCCAUAUACAAUGGUCAAUUGACUUUUGACAAGGGUACCAACAAACUCAAUGGGGAAAUCAUCUCUUCAAUAAAUAAUGCAGGGACAACUGGAUUUUCAUGCAAAAGAAUGACGUUGGACCUCUACUUCACACCAUACACCCACAUACACCAUUAACUCAAAAUGGAUUAAAGUUCUAAAACUGUGAGCUAAAAUUAUAAAACUGUUAGAAGAAAACAGGUGUAAAUCUUCGUGACCUUGGAUUAAGCAAUGGUUUCUUAGAUAUGACAUCUAAGCGUAAGCAAAGAAUGAAUAGACAAAUUGGACUUGAUCAAAAUUUAAAACUUGAGCUUCAAAGGACACUACGUGAAAAGACAAUCCACAGAAUGGAAAAAAAUAUUUGCAACUGAAAUAUCUGAUAGGGGCCUCAUAUCUGGAAUAUAUAAAGAACUCUUACAGUUCAACAAUCAAAUGCCAAAUAAUCCGAUUGAAACAUGAGCAAGGAUUUGAAUAGACAUUUCUCUAAAGAUGAUGUAUGAAUGGCCAAUAAACACAUGAAAAGAUGAUCAACGUCAUUAAUGGUUAUGAAAUUGUAAAUCAAAACCACAAAGAGAUACCACUUCACACCCACUAAGACGACUACAAUAAAAAAGACACAUUAACAAGUGUUGGCAGAGAGGCGGAGAAAGUGAAGUCUUUAUACACUCCUAGUGGGGAUAUAAAAUGGUGCAGCCACUUUGGAAAACAGUUUGGCGGUGUCUCAAAAAGCUAAAGAUGGAGUUCCCGUAUGCUGCAGCAAUUCCACGCCGUGGAAGACAUCAAGAGAAUGGAAAACAUGUUUACAGAGAAACUUAUACUUGAAUGUUCAUCACAGUGUUAUUCGUAAUAGCCCCAAAGUGGAAACAAUCCAAACGUCCAUCCUCGAAAUAGGGUGCACCCAGACAAUGGAAUAUUACUCAGCCAUAAAAAGGAAUGAAGUCCUGACACGUCAUGAAUGAACCUCGAAAACAUGCUGCGUGAAAGAAGCUUGACACAACCCUGCAUGUUCGUUCCAUUUAUACGAAAUGUCCAGAACAGGUGAAGCCAUGGCAGAAAGUAGACUAGUGGCUGCGGGGGUGAGGGGGUGGAGGGAGGAGUGACUAAUAGGUACAGGGUUUCAUUUGGGGGCGAUGAAAAUGUUCUGGAAC
rnacentral:lncRNA from 1 species